UGAAAUUAUAAGUAAAAUCAAUAUCUACUCACAAAUUAAUCAGAAGUUACUUUGGCGGCUAAGUGAAAGAAUAGGGCUGACCCUGAUCAACUAAACAAUUAUAUUAUACUUUCAUCAGUACUAAGUCAAAACAAGCCUUUAAAGAUACAAAAGACGCCUUAAUUUAUGUUAGAAAUCUGAUAGAGUUUCCUCUGUACUUAGGACCUAUCCAACCUGCAAAGUAGCUUAAAUAAUACUUAUAAGGUCACAAGCCUCAAGUCCACAUUUUAACAACAUCACAUGGCCCCUCUUGGGCUCUCCAAACCAGGCAAACUUCACAUAAUCAGACAAUUCAGUUAUAGUCUUUAAAAUUGACAUUCUGCAAAAACCAUCCAAACUAGCUUUAAAAAUUCUAAAAUUGUGCUCCACGGUCCAUCACAAUGCUAUAACAUUAUUACAAAAGGAAAUACAAUUUUUUAAUAACCCACGUAUAUUUUAUGGAUUUUUAUUUUAAACUCAGCACUAGGCAAAUAAGGGAAUUUGUAGUUCGGGUUUACUUACUCCAAUUCUAACGCUGGGAACGCGUCCGGGACGUUUGAAAAUUGUGGCAAGGACUGUAAUGUUAACCUGUUUCCGAGGUAGCUUCGGCAGCUCGUCUGUCUGGCCCGAAAAUGCAGAUUCGAGCGCCUAUGAAAUUUUCGGGAAACGAAAGUACCUACGCGAAGCUCACAACAUCAGGAGUUAGAAUUUAAUUUUUAUUUAAUUAAAUAAGCUCAUUAAAGACUAAGAAAAAUACUACGAAGUUCGCGGGACCCACCGAAUUUUCGAUGUUAGAAAAUUUUGAAAUUUAUAUCACUAUGAAGCUCUCACCGAGUAGAGCGUGCUGGUAGUCUCAAAUCCACCGUGGGGUUCUCAGUUUAGGAGAAAUUUAGCUCAAAAAUCAAAAUGGAUUAAAACUUCUCGGGCUUGAUUAAGAUAAAUCACUUAAUGAAAAUGGGCGUUCUAGGUGUCUUUGGAAAGCUCUUGUAGAGUAGAACAAAAUGGACACAAGACCUGGUUUGAUUGGUGGCCGGAUCGGCCGAAAUCACUUCGGGAAGAUGAAACGGUGUGCACGUGAGGAGGGAACUUCUGGCGCGUUUUUCCGACCAAUGGAGCAGCGGCCGGCAAUGGGGAGGCUACCUAAGGGAGCGCCAGCGAGGGAGGAGCAAGGGAGGGUGGCCGGCCGGCGUGGGGAAGGGAAGAGGAGAGAGAAAAUGGGAGGAGAAGGGAUGGUGUCGAACGCGCUGGGGAAGGGGAAGAAAAAGAGAAAUGGACCAGUUUGAUUUGAUCGGUCUGAUUUAGUUCAAUUCGAUUCGGCUGAUUCGAUUCAAGGUACCCGAAAUUCGAUUUUUACUUUGCCCUGAGACCCAAAAUGAGGUCCAAAAAUUUCGAAAAAAU
rnacentral:misc_RNA from 1 species